CGAGUCAUAUAUGCAAUUUAUAUUUCAGUAAUGUCAUAUAUGCAAGUCAGAAUAACAUAGCUUCUGCAUCUGAUUUUAUCACCUAUGUUCAUAUUAAUUCUCAGAAACAUCUUUACACGAUUCUGACAAAUGGCUGAAAAAAGUGGAAAACAGGUUCAAGUCCAAAGAAUGGCAGCAUAUGACCCAGACCAAUUGAAGGACUGGCCAAAGGUUAUUUUCAUAUCUACACAGUUAAGAAAGCUUUAGAGUUUUGAUACUCCAAACUCCAGGGCCAGCAAGCUCAAGGCCUGACCAAAGACUUGAAAAUAACAAGUCAUCCCAGCAUCAUCUCUUCUCAUCAAGAGUCAUAUGGAUAGAUCAAAAAGUACCAUAUCAAGACUGGUGAAUUGUAUAUGUUGCUGAAUUCAUAUGGAUUCCUCUGUCAUGCUUUGUUGCUCCACUGCAAAGCGUAUUGUCACACUGGUCGCUUUUGUGGCUGAAGUUUACCCUUUUGCUACUGUUCAACACUCAGUGAUCACUUUCAUUGAAAGCAAAAUUUUCUCCUUUCUACAGUGCUUUGUACAAAAUUUCUCGUAUGACAAUGUAAAAUUAUUUGUGCCUUUUGCUCUCAA